UACGUAGGGCGCAGGCGUUAAUCGGAAUUACUGGGCGUAAAGCGUGCGCAGGCGGUUUCUUAAGUCAGAUGUGAAAGCCCCGGGCUUAACCUGGGAACUGCGUUUGAAACUGGGAGACUUGAGUGUGGCAGAGGGGGGUGGAAUUCCACGUGUAGCAGUGAAAUGCGUAGAUAUGUGGAGGAACACCGAUGGCGAAGGCAGCCCCCUGGGUUAACACUGACGCUCAUGCACGAAAGCGUGGGGAGCAAACAGG
rnacentral:rRNA from 1 species